UUAGAACCAUGAAUAACUCAUUCUUCAUUCUAAAAGAAGAGAACUAAGAGUAACAACUGUAAAAUAUUUAGUUAUAAGUACUUCUGAGUCAGAACCAAACUCAGUCUAUAUGAAAUGAGCUGAGAAAAUAAAAUAAAAUAAAUAAGGACACAAAUAUUAAAAAAAUAAACUUUAUUGAGUUCAUACAUCUCCUUUUCACUGAUUUGUGGAGAUAUUUUACAUUAUUGAUCCAGCCAGCCAAUAAGGUGACUGGUUAUGUUAACCUGAGGGUAAAGUACUGCUGGACUAAGUGCCGAACUUCCUUUUGGGUCCAGCCAGCAGCCAAAGCAGCGGGUCUCCCUGCAACAGAACCGAGAUAAGAGCAUUUAUUUUGUUAUUGAUAUGUUUCUUUAUUAACCUUUUUCUUUUUUUAUUAAUUUAUUUCCAUAACUAUUCAUUUCUACAUUUAUUUAUCUCUCUAUUUAUUUCAGUAUUUCCUUGUCCUUAUGCUAAUAAAGGGGCUGUCAGUCAAUGAUGUCACAGCGUCUUAAUAUUCCUAUCAGUUGAUCGAUGUCAGACUCUGUAGAUCGACUGUUCAUGUCUUGCUCUCUCAGCGGUAACUAAGGACCAGACAGUACAGUAACGGCUUCUUACAGCAGCAGACAGUCAGAGAUCUGAGAGUCUCGGCUGAUGUGGCUGAAAAUGCAGGUCUGGGUUGUUUACUGGUUCGUGUGGAGGCUGUGGGGACAGUCUGCUCCAUUUAGCUGCCUCUGCUGAUUCAGAUGUCGACCCCAUAGUGUUCAGAGCUUUAGAGGAGGCGAAUAAUCGGCUUUUUCUGCAGAAUUCAGAUCAAACUCAGACAUUCGGACGCCCUUCUCACAUCCGGCCUGUGGAGCCAUCGAGAGUUACUCAUCAGCAGGGUCUCUGACAUGUUUACCAACACUGAUAAUGAAGAGCUGGAUGCAAAAGUAUGCGAGAUCCUCAGUUGUCAUCCAAAUACAGGAUAUAAAAUGAUGGCUGGCAUCUCAACGCUCGAGGCAUUCGGAUACAAAGACGUCGCGUUCAAGAAGCUGUGUGCCGUGAAGAUCCAGAAGGAAGUGAAACGCGUGCUCUUCAGCUGCAGACGGUGCGCCGCAGAAGGUAUUCUGUGCCUGCUCCUAACAGUUUGUGGCAUAUAGAUGGCAACCAUAAACUUAUUCGGUAAGGAUGUGCUUAUAUGAACACUG